rnacentral:rRNA from 1 species
CGGAACACGUACACAACCUUCCUUUAAGCGGGGAUAGCCCAGAGAAAUUUGGAUUAAUACCCCAUAGAAUGAUGAUGAGGCAUCUUAUUAUCAUUAAAGAUUUAUCACUUGAAGAUGGGUGUGCGUCUGAUUAGGUAGUUGGCGGGUAACGGCCCACCAAGCCAUCGAUCAGUAACUGGUGUGAGAGCACGACCAGUCACACGGGCACUGAGACACGGGCCCG